CAAAUUUUGGGAGAGAAAGAUAAAGAGAGUAGAGAGAUAUUUAGAGAGAGAAAGGGAGGGUUUCUCUCUCCCUCUCCAUGUGUGUGUGGGAAUGGUGGUGGUGGUGGUGGUGGUGGUGGUCGGCUAAGGAGGAAAAAGAAAAAGGAUCAAAAUCUCUUUUAUAAGCAACCCCUCAAAAUACUAUUACAAUCAGCAAUUUAGCUUUCAAAAUCUAAUACUUUUCGCCGGGACCCUUCUGAAUGUCUGUUUGAACUCAAAUUUGACAGUCAGGCUCGGUUUAUACUAAUUAGAAAGAAAAUAUCUUAACUUUCCAGUUUGGACCAUUUUUUGUCACCGAAAGCUCUAUCGAACUAAAAUCUCUAGCAAAUAGCAGUCAGAUUUUAUUUUCCCCUUUCCGGGUGUCGUAAUGACAUGAAACUUUAAAUCUAGCCUCACAAAAAUAAUCCUGACAUAUUUUCAGAUUUUCAUAAUUUUCUGACACUGUAAAUUUUCUGCUAAAAUAUCAGCCUUGUUCUUUACAGAAAAUUCUAAAUCUUCUGUUUCCGUUCCGAUUUCAACACGAGUCAUUCCAGACUUAUAUUUUAUUUCUACCCCCCUUAAAAAGAGUUUCAUCCGCGAAACUCAAAUCACACCUCAAUUCGACUUAUCGAGCAAUUGAGGGUAACA
rnacentral:lncRNA from 1 species